GUGGAUUUACUAGGAAGGUGGGACGUUGGAGGGGUGGCCGCAUGGAGUGAGUACUGUCUCUGGCCACCGAGCAGAGCCAGUGACAGCAGCGUCCUGGUAGGCAGGCAGGCGUAUCAGGUUUCAGAGGAUGCGGCUGGGAACGGGAGUAGAGGUGAGGGGUCGUUGCAUCUGUCGCGGUGUGUAUCUUUUGGGGGUUCAGCGCCACCAGCGACUUGGGCCUCAUUCAUCGCGCUUACAUUUCUCCACCUCAUUUGAAGAACGAGCUUCGUAGCCCACGGAGCUGAGGUAUAUGAGCUCCCUGAAAGCACAAAGCAGUUAUUUCCAUCUUCAGAUCAUUCAGAGAUUAUGAAGGCACAAACCCUGCCUUCAAUUUGCUUAUAGUCAAGUGGAGCAGACACAAGUCAAUGAUUGCAGUAUAGCCACUGAAGUAAUCUAAAAGAGGUGGGGAGGCCACAGCUUAUGUGAAUGACUUUCUCAGGAGUUAUAAAGUGAUACAGACUUAUCAGCAGGUUGCAGGUGAACAUGGCCUUGAGAUGUUUUCUUCUAAAUAAAUGAGAAAGAUGUUUCAACAAAGGCUCUUUAUGCUGAAUAAUUGUGAUGCUUGAAGUUGCUAAUCUGCUUUAAGUGGAUUUUAAAUGUCAGGCAAUUCUAGACAGUUUUUUCUUGGUCAAAUAAAAAUUUAAUUAAAACUUUA
rnacentral:lncRNA from 1 species